rnacentral:rRNA from 1 species
AUUGAACGCUGGCGGCAGGCCUAACACAUGCAGGUCGAGCGGAUGAAGGGAGCUUGCUCCUGGAUUCAGCGGCGGACGGGUGAGUAAUGCCUAGGAAUCUGCCUGGUAGUGGGGGAUAACGUCCGGAAACGGGCGCUAAUACCGCAUACGUCCUGAGGGAGAAAGUGGGGGAUCUUCGGACCUCACGCUAUCAGAUGAGCCUAGGUCGGAUUAGCUAGUUGGUGGGGUAAAGGCCUACCAAGGCGACGAUCCGUAACUGGUCUGAGAGGAUGAUCAGUCACACUGGAACUGAGACACGGUCCGGACUCCUACGGGAGGCAGCAGUGGGGAAUAUUGGACAAUGGGCGAAAGCCUGAUCCAGCCAUGCCGCGUGUGUGAAGAAGGUCUUCGGAUUGUAAAGCACUUUAAGUUGGGAGGAAGGGCAGUAAGUUAAUACCUUGCUGUUUUGACGUUACCAACAGAAUAAGCACCGGCUAACUUCGUG